AACAUUUGUCUAAUAAAUAAAU
rnacentral:miRNA from 1 species